AACGAACGCUGGCGGCGCGUCUUAAGCAUGCAAGUCGAACGGCAAGAGAGGAGCUUGCUUCUCUCCUAGAGUGGCGGACUGGUGAGGAACGCGUGGGUAAUCUACCCUUGAGAUGGGGAUAGCCGCUAGAAAUAGCGGGUAAUACCGAAUAGACUUAUAGCUGAGAAAGAAGUGAUAAGGAAAGGAAGCUAAGGCUUCGCUCAAGGAUGAGCCUGCGUCCCAUUAGCUAGUUGGUAAGGUAACGGCCUACCAAGGCGACGAUGGGUAUCCGGCCUGAGAGGGUGAACGGACACAUUGGGACUGAGAUACGGCCCAAACUCCUACGGGAGGCAGCAGCUAAGAAUAUUCCGCAAUGGACGGAAGUCUGACGGAGCGACGCCGCGUGGAUGAAGAAGGCUGAAAAGUUGUAAAUUCUUUUGCUGACGAAGAAUAAAGAUAAGAGGGAAUGCUUAUCAGAUGACGGUAGUCGGCGAAUAAGCCCCG
rnacentral:rRNA from 1 species